rnacentral:rRNA from 1 species
GAUUACGCCAAGCUAUUUAGGUGACACUAUAGAAUACUCAAGCUAUGCAUCCAACGCGUUGGGAGCUGCAUGCUCCCGGCCGCCAUGGCCGCGGGAUUAGCCGCGGUAAUACGUAGGGGGCGAGCGUUGUCCGGAAUUAUUGGGCGUAAAGAGCUCGUAGGCGGCUUGGCAAGUCACGUGUGAAAUCUCCAGGCUCAACCUGGUGAUGCCACGUGAUACUGCCAUGGCUUGAGUCCGGUAGGGGACCAUGGAAUUCCUGGUGUAGCGGUGAAAUGCGCAGAUAUCAGGAGGAACACCAGUGGCGAAGGCGGUGGUCUGGGCCGGUACUGACGCUGAGGAGCGAAAGCGUGGGGAGCGAACAGGAUUAGAUACCCUGGUAGUCCACGCCGUAAACGUUGGGCACUAGGUGUGGGACCCUAUCGACGGGUUCCGUGCCGCAGCUAACGCAUUAAGUGCCCCGCCUGGGGAGUACGGCCGCAAGGCUAAAACUCAAAUGAAUUGACGG